UACCAACUGUUUUGUGCAUACAAUGGAUUACGGCUUUGCUAAUCAUCAUCGGGCAAAGGAGGGUUUAGGAGGUAGAGUUCGUCUUAUUUUGUCUGGAGCAACACGUUUAUCUGCACAUGUGGGGAAGGUUACUUACGGGUUGACUUCUUGUAAUGUCCGACAAGGAUAUGUGAUUUAUACAUCUGUGGGAGUCUUCGCAAUAAAUACUUUGCAACCCAACUAGGAGCGGAGAAAGUAGUUGACUUCAUAAAAGAAAGAAUAAGAUACUUGCUGAAAUGGAAACUGUUACCCAGUGUUUGGGUCCACCAAUAACUGUCAACGAUCAAAAUGUAACAAAUGUUUGGUUGAAGAUGAAAGAUAAGCUUGAAGGCUUGAAUUAUGUACUACUCGAUGAAGUCGUAGUUGUUUCCAACGCUACCACCCUCAUUAUUGGCACUGUUGUGUCCCUCGACUCCCAAGAGCUACUCCUUCAAUUGUAGUAGUGACAGAAUAAAAAUCUUAUGUUCUCCUUAUGACACUAUUUAUUUUGAACCAAGAAUUGUUUAGCAUUGUAUGAGUACCAUUUGGAGGCAUAGGGCGUAGGGCAGGGUAGGGCAUAGGGCAUAGGGCAUAGGGCAUAGGGCAUAGGGCAUAGGGCAUAGGGCAUAGGGCAUAGGGCAU